AAAUGCUGGAAAAAUGUUAAAAAAUGCUGAAAACUUGCUAUAAAAAAAGGUAAAAAAUGCUAAAAAAUGGAAUUUUUGGAUUUGUGCCCUGGCAGCCCGAGGGGAGCGUCCUGAGGGAUCGGUUCCGGAGCCUGCAGAGGAGAAACAUCCUGGAGCCGCGAGUCAGGGCCAAGUUCAAGCGGCGCUACAAAGUGAAAUACGUGGAGAAAAGAUCCUUCCGGGCCAUCACGCUCUGACCCCGGGACCCCUCCCCAAAAUAAAACCUUGGAGCGAC